GUAAAUUCUCUGAACGGGAAAAUUGAAAAAAAAAAAAUUUGUUGGCAGGUUUCAGACAUGAUUAGUGUUUUGUUUUCGCUUUUGUUUGUUGAAAUGGCACUGAUUCUAGCCCUUUUGUUUAGAACCCCUCUAAGAAAUCUAUUGGUAGUAGGGAUAGAUAAGUUGAAGCGAGGAAGAGGUCCAUUGGUGGCAAAAACUGUCGCAGCGACCUUGCUUGUGGUGUUUAGUGCUAUCUUGUAUAGUGUAAUGGAAAUUCGGAAACGUGCUCUGGAGGCUGGUGUGGUUAAUUCAACUGAUGAGGUUCUCAUGGCAGAAAGACUUUUAGAAGCAUCUCUAAUGGGGUUCUCUCUAUUUCUUGCAAUGAUGGCAGAUAGACUGCACUACCAUAUGAAAGAACUUUAUCGCUUAAGGGAGGAGAUGGAACAGGUGAAAAAAUCAAAACAGGAAUAUGGAAGUAAGGAAAGUUGGAGAAUGGGGGAGAAUGAAGGGGGAAAAGUUAAAGAGCCAGAAACUGUCUCCAAAAGAAAGGCAAGGACACCAUUGAAUGCUUGAUGAGAAAUCAUAGUGGCUUAAAAGAAUCAAGAAAUGAGGCC
rnacentral:misc_RNA from 1 species